GAUGAACGCUGGCGGCGUGCUUAACACAUGCAAGUCGAACGAAGCUGCUAAAAGGAAGUCUUCGGACAGAAUUUUAGUAGACUUAGUGGCGGACGGGUGAGUAACGCGUGGAUAACCUGCCUUAUACAGGGGGAUAACGGAGAGAAAUUUCCGCUAAGACCGCAUAAGACCACAGCACCGCAUGGUGCAGGGGUAAAAUAUUUAUAGGUAUAAGAUGGAUCCGCGUCCGAUUAGCUAGUUGGUGAGGUAGAGGCUCACCAAGGCGACGAUCGGUAGCCGGCCUGAGAGGGUGAACGGCCACAUUGGGACUGAGACACGGCCCAAACUCCUACGGGAGGCAGCAGUGGGGAAUAUUGGACAAUGGGGGAAACCCUGAUCCAGCGACGCCGCGUGAGUGAAGAAGUAUUUCGGUAUGUAGAGCUCUAUCAGCAGGGAAGAAAAUGACGGUACCUGACUAAGAAGCCCCGGCUAACUACGUGCCAGCAGCCGCGGUAAUACGUAGGGGGCAAGCGUUAUCCGGAUUUACUGGGUGUAAAGGGAGCGCAGACGGCGAAGCAAGUCUGAAGUGAAAUGCAUGGGCUCAACCCAUGAAUUGCUUUGGAAACUGUUUGGCUUGAGUGUCGGAGGGGUAAGCGGAAUUCCUAGUGUAGCGGUGAAAUGCGUAGAUAUUAGGAGGAACACCGGAGGCGAAGGCGGCUUACUGGACGACAACUGACGUUGAGGCUCGAAGGCGUGGGGAGCAAACAGG
rnacentral:rRNA from 1 species